rnacentral:lncRNA from 1 species
AGAGUUACUAGAAAAUAUGAGUGAAAUCACACAAGAAAGAAGAAAUAAUUUUUUUUGGUAUGUUAUCUAUUAUAAGGCUCAGAAUCUCACAAAGGACAUUGAUCAACCACAAAUGAUAUACAAUUCAGAAUUUAAUCCUACUUAUCAUACCAAGAAUGCAAAUAAAAUCACUCACAUUACACCAGGAGUCUUUAGUCAAGAGAACAAAGAAAUUAAUCACACCCGCAAUCCAAAAAUCAAAGAAAAAAGCAUGCAAUUUAC